CGAAGUAUUUCAGUUCCCGAUGCUUACACUAGUCAGGAGAAGAAAAACAUCACAUACUUUCUUCCUCUAUUUUCUUUUCCUCAUCAUUGAGCCCCAUCUCUCUAAAAGGAGGAAUCCCAGUUCCUCUUCUUUCCUAGAGACAGGAACAGAAGCUCUCACAGGCAGAACAGAAGGAAAAAAAAAAAAAAAAAAAAAGGUAAAUCCUGUUCUUAGUGAGCACUUCAAGUCCCACAGUACCACUAGCAUGGCUGGGGGGAGCGUGCAUUUGUUUUGCCACGCCCUGGAAAGCAGGAUGGGAAAUGAAAUCUCCUGUCUCAUGGUACAGCUAUUAAAAGCACAGGCUCUGAUGAGCUGUUACCACAAACACAGCAGGAAAGAGAAGAGAAAACGAGUAAGGGUGGCUUUACGAGAGUUUAUAUGUAUAAACUACCUUGCUCUAACAUUAUAUAUAUAGUACACUUUUACGUAUUUACAUUUUAUAUAUAACAUUUCUCCCCUCACUCUUAGGAUAAGUAGUCAUCCUCCCCAAAACACCCACAGAUUAAAUCCAACCACUAGAUCAAAACCGCAGGAGCUUGGCAGAGCUAGUUUGCUGACGUCUUCCCGUGCUUUUUCUCUGGUGAGAAGAGUACCUGAGAAGAGCACAUUGCAGGCUUCUGUGGUCAACGGGAGCUCCCGCAGAGACGGAUGUAUCUCAGACUAUGAAGCUGCCUUGGGGAACACUGGACAACGCUUAGCAUGAAGCUGAGGAGGCUGCAAGCAGCAAGCCAUGGACAACAGGCACACAGACGUGCCCUACUGCUUUAGACCACGAAUGAACUUAUGUAGAAGGUUUCCAAGGAAAAGAGUCAGAUGUCUGCAGAAAGCAAUUACCCGUCAGAACUGAUGCAACACAAACAUUUGGAAUUGCUCUACCAACGUGAAACUGUUCCAGAGGCACAUGGCCCCCUUUGUGUUACUGCCUCAACCUCCCACUGCCUGACAAGCAAAUCCUCAACAGUGUGAACAUUUUUAACUGAAGCAGCGCUAUCCCCAUUUCAGAACCAGGUAAACGGCAAAAAUAAAGGUAGGUUUGCUUUGCAUUUGAGGAACUAGCCUGAUCCAAGUGAAAUAGAUACUUGUAAUCCUCACUCCAGUCCUGUGCUGCGUCAGCCUCUGCUGCUGCGUCAGGCAGGACUGAGCUGGGGCAGUGCAGACAGCCGGCUGCCACUUUAACUCACAGCACUUGCAGUAUGCCAGCGUGCCCCUCCUGUGCCUGCAUUCUCACCAGCCUGUUUCCUGCUGCAGGUUGUUGGGAACACAGGCUACUGCACGGGUACGCAGAACAUGUUGCACAAUGAAAGCAACGAGUAUCUGUCUGCUGGAACCGCCAGGGCCAGCCGGCUGGUGUUGCUGUGUUUAUUUUGACCUGGCAAGGGAAGAACGGUAGCAGUUUCCACAAUUAAAAUGGCUGUCCAACUGCUGGGGUCUCUAUUGCCUAUACCUAAGUCUACGUCAGAAUAAGAAUUGGAUGGCUUUUAGCCCUGGCUUGAACAUGAGCUGUAGGCCAAAACAGUUCUACUAACUCCGACUCGCAGCCUAAGGUGUGCAAAGAUGACAUUCUGUCAAUGCAGAUGUUUUCUAUUCUUCUAAACUUGCCCCAGGAACAAAAUAGCUGUGUGAUGUAAACAAGCAAUUAAAACCAUACCCAAAUAUUGUAACUCCAGACUAUUCCUCUCUUUCAUUAUCUCAUGCAUUUGCCAGCUUUGAAAAUGAAAAUCCAAAGACAUUGCAUUUCAAAUAUUUGGAAGUGCACUUCUUUUUAAGUAACUCAUCACUGAGCUUACCUAUUUAGUUUUACUGAAGAAUUUCAAUUAGAUUUUUUUGUUUUGUUUUCCUUCAAGAAAACCAGUUUAGAAGAAAAAAAAAAAAAGAACUUCUUGCCAGUUUUCAGCCUGGAGCCUCCUUUUAUGGCCUAAGUUAGAAAAACUUGGCUUAAAAAAUAAAUUAAUUUGAAUGCUUGUAGCCAGUAAUCCAGUUGAUAGGCUUACUCAGCUCCACGCUCACCUAAAUCUCAACUCCUUAAACUUCUGGUCUCCAAACAUACUACCAACACUUAUACUACUACUUAGGCUGCCAAAACUCAGGCAGUUGUAAAGAUGUCUCUGAGUAGCUAAAAGAGCACCUCAUAGUUUGUUCUAAAAAUGUCUUAGCUUACACUUACAGAUAGAUAUCACAUACAUUCCUGUAAAACUCAAAAAGAAAGCAUUGUUGUUUUCUUGCAUUCCGUAUUUUGGGAUGUGUUGAUAUUACAGAUAAUUUUAAAGUGUUCUGUUGUUGUUUUUGUUCGUUUUGGUUUUAGACCUAAGAUUUCAAAUGUAUUUCAGCUAACACAGAGGCAAGAACUGUGGAAGGGGCACCAUACCUCACCACCUAGCUCACGAGUAGCUGUGCUUUCUGCAGAGACCUUCCGCAGAGCCCAGCAGGUGUGCAGCCGCCCAGGCUGCCCGCGAUGCUUCUCCUGAAGCCAUCAAUGCUGCCACCUCCUGGCAUAAAGGGAGAUUUACAGCAACAGUUUUAAAUGGCAUUUAGUGCAUUAUAUGCAUUACUGCAACUGCUGGUGCAGAAAAUUCUGUUAGGGAGCUGUUUUCAUUCUGAGUUUAUUCCAUUCUUUAUUUUUUGUUGCAGUACUGGCGAUGAAGUGAUAGUUCUCAUUUGGCUGGUAAGCAGAAAAACCUUGGAGAAACACGUGGCAGAGCACCAUUAAAAACUAUUCCUUCUUUUUGAACAGGUGCAGCUCCAUGGGAACCACUGUAAGUGCACAUGCUGAACUAGGAUGAAUCUAUCUUCUCCUGACUUCAUUCACGGUAUGUAUUUAAAACAAAGAAACAGAAUUUUUAAACAAGCGACAGAUGAUACAUUCCAU